rnacentral:rRNA from 1 species
UGCAAGUAGAACGCUGAAGAGAGGAGCUUGCUCUUCUUGGAUGAGUUGCGAACGGGUGAGUAACGCGUAGGUAACCUGCCUUGUAGCGGGGGAUAACUAUUGGAAACGAUAGCUAAUACCGCAUAACAAUGGAUGACUCAUGUCAUUUAUUUGAAAGGGGCAAAUGCUCCACUACAAGAUGGACCUGCGUUGUAUUAGCUAGUAGGUGAGGUAACGGCUCACCUAGGCGACGAUACAUAGCCGACCUGAGAGGGUGAUCGGCCACACUGGGACUGAGACACGGCCCAGACUCCUACGGGAGGCAGCAGUAGGGAAUCUUCGGCAAUGGGGGCAACCCUGACCGAGCAACGCCGCGUGAGUGAAGAAGGUUUUCGGAUCGUAAAGCUCUGUUGUAAGUCAAGAACGAGUGUGAGAGUGGAAAGUUCACACUGUGACGGUAGCUUACCAGAAAGGGACGGCUAACUACGUGCCAGCAGCCGCGGUAAUACGUAGGUCCCGAGCGUUGUCCGGAUUUAUUGGGCGUAAAGCGAGCGCAGGCGGUUUGAUAAGUCUGAAGUUAAAGGCUGUGGCUCAACCAUAGUUCGCUUUGGAAACUGUCAAACUUGAGUGCAGAAGGGGAGAGUGGAAUUCCAUGUGUAGCGGUGAAAUGCGUGGAUAUAUGGAGGAACACCGGUGGCGAAAGCGGCUCUCUGGUCUGUAACUGACGCUGAGGCUCGAAAGCGUGGGGAGCGAACAGGAUUAGAUACCCUGGUAGUCCACGCCGUAAACGAUGAGUGCUAGGUGUUGGAUCCUUUCCGGGAUUCAGUGCCGCAGCUAACGCAUUAAGCACUCCGCCUGGGGAGUACGACCGCAAGGUUGAAACUCAAAGGAAUUGACGGA